rnacentral:RNase_P_RNA from 1 species
UUGUGCGGAUGUGGCGACCGCCCCGCCAUGCGGGGAGGAAAGUCCGAACACGGCAGGACACGGUGGUGGGUAACGCCCACCCGAUUCGCCCGGCUUGCCGGGCGGAUUGAGGGACAGUGCCACAGAAAACAAACCGCCUACGUCUCACGGCUUGUCCGCGAGGCCGGCAAGGGUGAAAAGGUGCGGUAAGAGCGCACCGCCGCGCUGGUGACAGGGCGGGCAUGGUAAACCCCACCGCGUGCAAGACCAAGCAGCGACGAUGGACUGGUCCGGUCCGAUUGAGUCGCGGGUAGGUCGCUUGAGCCCGUGGGUGACCGCGGGCCUAGAGAAAUGGUCGCCCCGUGUGAUUCGUCAUGCGGAACAGGAUUCGGCUUACGAUCCGCACACCCCA